GGCCUCGUGGCCCAAUGGCAAGGCGUCUGACUACGAGCGAGGGAGAGGGAGAAAGGGACCUCCUAACCUAGGAGAGUCAUCCUACGAUUGCUUCUUCACGAUAAUCAGGAGAUUCUGGGUUCGACCCCCAGCGAGGUCA